rnacentral:rRNA from 1 species
AGCUUGCUUCUCUGGAUGAGUUGCGAACGGGUGAGUAACGCGUAGGUAACCUGCCUGGUAGCGGGGGAUAACUAUUGGAAACGAUAGCUAAUACCGCAUAAGAGUAGAUGUCGCAUGACAUUUGCUUAAAAGAUGCAAUUGCAUCACUACCAGAUGGACCUGCGUUGUAUUAGCUAGUUGGUGGGGUAACGGCUCACCAAGGCAACGAUACAUAGCCGACCUGAGAGGGUGAUCGGCCACACUGGGACUGAGACACGGCCCAGACUCCUACGGGAGGCAGCAGUAGGGAAUCUUCGGCAAUGGACGGAAGUCUGACCGAGCAACGCCGCGUGAGUGAAGAAGGUUUUCGGAUCGUAAAGCUCUGUUGUAAGAGAAGAACGAGUGUGAGAGUGGAAAGUUCACACUGUGACGGUAUCUUACCAGAAAGGGACGGCUAACUACGUGCCAGCAGCCGCGGUAAUACGUAGGUCCCGAGCGUUGUCCGGAUUUAUUGGGCGUAAAGCGAGCGCAGGCGGUUAGAUAAGUCUGAAGUCAAAGGCUGUGGCUCAACCAUAGUUUGCUUUGGAAACUGUUUAACUUGAGUGCAAGAGGGGAGAGUGGAAUUCCAUGUGUAGCGGUGAAAUGCGUAGAUAUAUGGAGGAACACCUGUGGCGAAAGCGGCUCUCUGGCUUGUAACUGACGCUGAGGCUCGAAAGCGUGGGUAGCGAACAGGAUUAGAUACCCUGGUAGUCCACGCCGUAAACGAUGAGUGCUAGGUGUUAGGCCCUUUCCGGGGCUUAGUGCCGCAGCUAACGCAUUAAGCACUCCGCCUGGGGAGUACGACCGCAAGGUUGAAACUCAAAGGAAUUGACGGGGGCCCGCACAAGCGGUGGAGCAUGUGGUUUAAUUCGAA